rnacentral:rRNA from 1 species
UACGGAGGGGGCAAGCGUUGUUCGGAAUUAUUGGGCGUAAAGGGCGCGUAGGUGGCCUGACAAGUCGGGUGUGAAAUCCCUCGGCUCAACCGGGGAACUGCAUUCGAUACUGUCGGGCUAGAGUCCGGGAGGGGAUGGUGGAAUUCCCAGUGUAGCGGUGAAAUGCGUAGAGAUUGGGAAGAACACCGGUGGCGAAGGCGGCCAUCUGGACCGGCACUGACACUGAGGCGCGAAAGCCAGGGGAGCGAAUGGG